rnacentral:tRNA from 1 species
GUGGCUUUGGUACUGUUUGGGCAAAUGUACGCUAGACUUAGGAUCUAGUGCCUUACGGUGUGAGAGUUCGAGUCUCUCCGCCUGUACAA